UGACCUCGGAUCAGGUAGGGAUACCCGCUGAACUUAAGCAUAUCAAUAAGCGGAGGAAAAGAAACCAACAGGGAUUGCCCUAGUAACGGCGAGUGAAGCGGCAACAGCUCAAAUUUGAAAUCUGGCGUCUUUGGCGUCCGAGUUGUAAUUUGCAGAGGGCGCUUUGGCAUUGGCAGCGGUCCAAGUUCCUUGGAACAGGACGUCACAGAGGGUGAGAAUCCCGUACGUGGUCGCUAGCCUUUACCGUGUAAAGCCCCUUCGACGAGUCGAGUUGUUUGGGAAUGCAGCUCUAAAUGGGAGGUAAAUUUCUUCUAAAGCUAAAUACUGGCCAGAGACCGAUAGCGCACAAGUAGAGUGAUCGAAAGAUGAAAAGCACUUUGGAAAGAGAGUUAAAAAGCACGUGAAAUUGUUGAAAGGGAAGCGCUUGCAGCCAGACUUGCCUGUA
rnacentral:rRNA from 1 species